rnacentral:sRNA from 1 species
UAUUCAUCCCAUGCGGGAAGGAUGAGAAGCUUCGACUAAGGUUCGAUUCGAGCGAGGCGAGAAAGCGUUGCCGCAGGCAACGACCCGAAGGGCGAGGCGCAACGCGCCGAGUAAUCCUUCCCCCACCACCA